UUGUGGCCGGGAGAGGCAGCCGUGCCCGGGCUGGCGCUGUCGAAGUUGACCUGGAAAGGCGCGUCACAGAGGGUGAGAGCCCCGUGCGCGACACCGCCGGGCCGGGCCGCUACUGUCUUCGGAGAGUCGGGUUGUUUGGGAUUGCAGCCCAAAGUGGGUGGUAAACUCCAUCUAAAGCUAAAUACUGGCACGAGACCGAUAGCGAACAAGUACCGUGAGGGAAAGGUGAAAAGUACUUUGAAAAGAGAGUCAAAAAGACCGCGAAACCGUUGGGAGGGAAACGAAUGCGGCUGAAGUGGCCGCCCGUCAGGCUCAGGAGACGUCGUGCGGGUCCCGGCUCCUCGCGGUUGCUUCCGCGGCGGUGGCCCUGGGUGCCCGUCGAGCGGCUCUGCACUUCUGCGGGCGGCCUGCCAACGGCAGUUGCUCCCGGCCCAGGAGGUCGUGUGGGGUAGGUGGCUCCGCGUCCGCGUGGGGACCUUACAGCCCGGCGUCUCGGCGCUCCGGGAGGCGACUGAGGAGAGUUUCCUUGCGCGAGUCUUUCGCGCUGGCAGCGCAGGCUGCCCCCCCUCGGGGGGGGG
rnacentral:rRNA from 1 species